rnacentral:sRNA from 1 species
GCCAGGCGUGGUGGCGAGCGCCUGUAAUCCCAGCUACUCAGGAGGCUGAGGCGGGAGAAUUGCUUGAACCUGGGAGGUGGAGGUUGCAGUGAGCCGCGAUUGCGCCACUGCACUCCUGCCUGGGCAACAGAGCAAGACUCCGUCUCAA